GCGGGUAUGGUUUAAUGGCAGAACGUUGCCUUGCCAAGGCAGAGAUUCGGGUUCGAUUCCCGGUACCCGCA
rnacentral:tRNA from 3 species